rnacentral:rRNA from 1 species
CCUACGGGGGGCUGCAGUGGGGAAUAUUGGACAAUGGGCGCAAGCCUGAUCCAGCCAUACCGCGUGGGUGAAGAAGGCCUUCGGGUUGUAAAGCCCUUUUGUUGGGAAAGAAAUCCUGUCGGUUAAUAACCGGUGGGGAUGACGGUACCCAAAGAAUAAGCACCGGCUAACUUCGUGCCAGCAGCCGCGGUAAUACGAAGGGUGCAAGCGUUACUCGGAAUUACGGGGCGGGUGGUUUACGUAGGUGGUGAAAGCCCUGGGCUCAACCUGGGAAUUGCGAUGGAUACUGGAUCGCUAGAGUGUGGUAGUGGGAUGCGGAAUUUCUGGUGUAGCAGUGAAAUGCGUAGAGAUCAGAAGGAACAUCCGUGGCGAAGGCGGCAUCCUGGGCCAACACUGACACUGAGGCACGAAAGCGUGGGGAGCAAACAGGAUUAGAUACCCUAGUAGUC